UACGGGGGGGGCAAGCGUUGUUCGGAAUUACUGGGCGUAAAGGGCUCGUAGGUGGCCAACUAAGUCAGACGUGAAAUCCCUCGGCUUAACCGGGGAACUGCAUCUGAUACUGGAUGGCUGGAGAUUGGGAGAGGGAUGCGGAAUUCCAGGUGUAGCGGUGAAGUGCGUAGAUAUCUGGAGGAACACCGGUGGCGAAGGCGGCAUCCUGGACCAACACUGACGCUGAGGAGCGAAAGCCAGGGGAGCAAACGGG
rnacentral:rRNA from 1 species